GACGUAGGGGACGAGCGUUGUCCGGAUUUAUUGGGCGUAAAGGGCGCGUAGGCGGCCAGCACAAGUCAGUUGUGAAAUCUCCGAGCUUAACUCGGAAAGGUCAACUGAUACUGUGCGGCUAGAGUGCGGAAGGGGCAACUGGAAUUCUUGGUGUAGCGGUGAAAUGCGUAGAUAUCAAGAGGAACACCUGCGGCGAAGGCGGGUUGCUGGGCCGACACUGACGCUGAGGCGCGAAAGCCAGGGGAGCGAACGGG
rnacentral:rRNA from 1 species